rnacentral:lncRNA from 1 species
UUUCUCUUGCUCCAGAUAGAUGUCUGAAAUAACGUCAGACAAAUCUCAGCUGGCCCCAGUGUGAGCCAGGAAGGAUGGCAGCAGGGGACUGACUUUGAACCAUGGCAGAGCAGAGACUGACCUUCCUAUCCAUCAGAAAGGGGGACACCAGAGGCAGAGUACCCUGACCUUGGAAAAAGGCUCUAAUCUAGUGUCUUUAUAGAGAUGAGGAAGCAGCUUUGACAAGUGGGAGUUAAGCCCUGGAUGGUUCCGGACUAUCUAGCCAUUGCUUAAUCUUCUUAAUAUGAUGCCACGCAUUACUGAAAAGCAUUCAGGAGCUACUGAGUUGUACAAAGAAACGUGGAUUGAAAUCAUCCUUCAUUUCCCCUUUUGUGCCAAUACUACAUGCAGUUUCAACACUGUAAAUUUCAUAGCACUAGCAACUUUCAAAAAGCUGCCAUAUAGCCUAUACAGAGUAAACAAUCAGAUCUUGGUAGAGAAGAUGACGCAGCUGGCCCAUAUAUGCAUACUCAAAAAAGGGCUUGGUCUAAGCAGUGAAGACUUUUCAAAUGAAUCUCUCUAGUAAUGACAAUGGAAAGCAUGGCCAAAUUCCAGUUUAUUUGCUGAUAGGAUUUUCAGUGCAAUACGUGGAAAAAAAAAAAAAAACAGAACGCUCUACCCAGACCCUUUUCUAUGCAGGCUGAGAAACUGAGCUACAGAAGGAUUCAAAGGCAUAGUUUCUCAUGGAUCAUUCUUCACUGCUGGAUCUUAACCUGCUCAGGCUUUGUGGAGCUGCGGAUUUCCUCUUUAUGUGUGACAACAUGUAGAGAUGGAAAACCUUUUCCUGUCAGGCCUUACUUACUCUAUGGUAUGGACAGAAGGAGAAGUGAGCCUUGAGAUUCUGUCCCCUGCUUGCAAGCAAUAAGUGAUGGUCCUCCUCAACAAUUUUAAGCAAAAGGAAGUUGUCCCCAUUAAAGCUUCAGCCAUGCAAGGACUGUGAUAGGGACAGACUUGUUCAAGAAGUCACUGACAAAUUCAGAAAAUAAAACCAAAUAUUUUUGUUAUAUCCGAAUGAUC